UUGAAAUUCAAGCUUGAAGGCAAUUCUCUCAAAACAUGAAAAUAAAAAGUAAAAAGUGUGAGCUUUGCAAUAAUCUGGCAAGAAUGUAUUGUGAAUCAGACGAGGCCAUUUUGGGACUGUGACUCCAGAGUACACGGUGCCAAUUUUCUGGUUGCUAAGCAUUUAAGAACUCUUCUUUGCCACCUCUGUCAAUCUCCUACGCCCUAAUAGAAGUGCCUCCAUUGUUUCUGCUUGCAGCCAUUGCAUUAAUAGAAGUGCUUCUAGAGAAGAGAUAAAUAACACCGACUACGACGAUGAUACUAGUGGUGAUGAAGAAAAUCAAGUGGUUUCAUGGCCACGCAUGCCUGACACUGUCGAACCCGCUUCUCGAGAUCACUCAGGCUGUUCAUUUUCUGAUCAUCUUUGUCAAAUGAAUCAACGUCCUCGAAUGCCAGAAAAUAACAGUUGGAGGAUUAGAAGACGGUAUGGUUGCCGACUACCGGAAUCCGUUGGAAGAGGUCGAAGAUACUGCUGCUACAUAUCUGCAAAUGAAAGCCUUUCUAAGAUGCUUAUGCCAUUCUCAAUCGCUAAUUAUUCUGGUUUAAUAAGAGGUAAUUAUCUGUAAUUAAAGAUCAUCCAGCGUUGAGUCUGGAUCAGGGUGUAUUAAUAAUUAAAGCAGAAAUGUAUGUGUUUUUAAUUUUGUUUAUUUUA